rnacentral:rRNA from 1 species
UACGUAGGGUGCAAGCGUUGUCCGGAAUUAUUGGGCGUAAAGAGCUCGUAGGCGGUCUGUCACGUCGGCUGUGAAAACUCGGGGCUCAACCCCGAGCCUGCAGUCGAUACGGGCAGACUAGAGUGCGGUAGGGGAGACUGGAAUUCCUGGUGUAGCGGUGAAAUGCGCAGAUAUCAGGAGGAACACCGGUGGCGAAGGCGGGUCUCUGGGCCGUAACUGACGCUGAGGAGCGAAAGCGUGGGGAGCAAACAGG